rnacentral:lncRNA from 1 species
GAAGUGUUGCAUGCUGACUUCAGAGAACACACUGGGAAAGAAGCCCAUCAUUGCUGGCAAGGACCAAACUAAAUUAAUAGGGAGAGAAAAAAACCAGGAGCAAUGAAUAGAAGUUGCAAAGAGAUGAAUUUGGGCUUGAGGUAAAGAAAAAGUUCCUAACAAUAACACUUACUGGAAAAUGGAAUGAACAGACUC